rnacentral:rRNA from 1 species
ACGAAGGCAGCAGUGGGGAAUAUUGCACAAUGGGGGAAACCCUGAUGCAGCGACGCCGCGUGAGUGAAGAAGUUAUUCGUAAUGUAAAGCUCUAUCAGCAGGGAAGAAAAUGACGGUACCUGACUAAGAAGCCCCGGCUAACUACGUGCCAGCAGCCGCGGUAAUACGUAGGGGGCAAGCGUUAUCCGGAUUUACUGGGUGUAAAGGGAGCGCAGACGGCUUUGCAAGUCUGAUGUGAAAGGCAGGGGCUCAACUCCUGGACUGCAUUGGAAACUGUAGGGCUAGAGUGUCGGAGAGGUAAGCGGAAUUCCUAGUGUAGCGGUGAAAUGCGUAGAUAUUAGGAGGAACACCAGUGGCGAAGGCGGCUUACUGGACGAUCACUGACGUUGAGGCUCGAAAGCGUGGGGAGCAAACAGGAUUAGAUACCCUGGUA